rnacentral:rRNA from 1 species
UACAGAGGUCCCAAGCGUUGUUCGGAUUCACUGGGCGUAAAGGGCUCGUAGGCGGUUUGUCGCGUCGGGAGUGAAAUCCACUGGCUUAACUGGUGGCUUGCUUUCGAUACGGGCAGACUGGAGGUAUGCAGGGGAGAACGGAAUUCCUGGUGUAGCGGUGAAAUGCGCAGAUAUCCGGAGGAACACCGGUGGCGAAGGCGGCUUCCUGGACCGACACUGACGCUGAGGCGCGAAAGCUAGGGGAGCAAACGGG